UCAGCGACCAUGGGGGGCACCAUCCACUGUAAGACAGACGACACCGGUGGGGGAGAGUUAGUUUAGGGCACCACAGGCUGGACCCUGCAGAGGGGCGGGGGCUGGGCCACGUAGGGCUCUAACCACAGGGAGGCUGCGAAGGGGGAACCCGGAAUGUACCAGGUCGACAAGCUGGGGAAAACGGGCAGAUUCUGGACCGGCACUGGGUUGAACCAGCAGGAGGCAGCAGGAGGGUGGAACAGGGAUGUCCAGUUUCAGCAUCAGACUCAACUAUGUGAAGAAGUGAGUCGCUAAGUCUCACUAAGCCUAAGAGAUUAGGCCCCUCCUCUCGAAGCAUCAGAGAAUCCACGAGAGAGAAGAGGGAGAAGAAGAGGGAGACAGAACAACGGGGAGAGAUGGACCCUGAAAGCCCCGUGAGGCUUUGAGGUCAAGGAGACACAUAUUCAGAAACUCAGUGACACGUGGAGAGAGAUGCUUGAGGGAGCUAUGGAGACAGGGAAAAGAGGCAAGACAAAGGAAACAAUGGCGAUAACAUGGUAACAACAACAACAACAACAAUAAUAAUAAGUUACAGUAAUAACAGCCAGCACAUAAAGCAGCUACGACAUCCCAGGCAGAGUUCUGAGACUUCCUGUGAACUCACUCAUGUAAUCCCCAGCCGCCCAAUGGGGUAGAGGCUGUGGUCCCAUUCUACAGAUGAGGAAACCAAGGGUCAGAAGCCAUCAGUGACUUGCCCAGAGUUCUCCACUUAGGAAGUGGAUGAGCAGAGGAGGAAAACAAAGAGGAGAGGGGGGGAGGGGCGCCUGGGUGGCUCAGUCGGUUAAACAUCCGACUCUGGAUUUCAGCUCAGGUCACGAUCUUGCGGUUGGUGGCUUCGAGCCCUGGGUCGGGCUCUGCACUGUCAGUGCGGAGCCCGCUUGGGAUUCUCUUUCUCUCCACUCUCUGCCCUCCCCCCUCUCAAAAUGAAUAAAUAAACUUAAAAAGAAAAAAGAGGAAUGGAGGAAACACAAUGGAGGCAUAGAUGCAGAAAAGUGGGGAAAGCGUCAGGAAGAGUGGAAGAGGGACCCAAAUCUGAUGGAGAAAAGCCGCCCUGACUGGAGUUUUCUAGACACCAGGCCAGGCCAUGCACCCUGUAGGCUUUAUUUCAAGCCUCAAAGCUGCCCCAUGAGGUGGGGUUAAAAUUAGCCCCAUUAUAGAGCUCUUCCUGCCCUUGGGUCCUGUCCCCAUGCUUUAAUAAGAAUAUAAAAAAAUUAGCCCCAUUAUUCAGAUAGAAACACUGAGGCUGGUGAGAGAGAGAAGCGGCUCAUCCAAGAUAUAGUAGGUUGGACGGUUGGAUGGUGCCCCACACACACACGAAAGAAAGAAAGAAAGAAAGAAAGAAAGAAAGAAAGAAAGAAAGAAAGAAAGAAAGAAAAAGAAAGAAAGAAAGAAAGGAAGGAAGAAAGAAAGGAAGGUGCCUCAAACCUGUGAAUGGGACCUAAUUUGGCCAAAAGGUUUUUGCAGCUGUGACUAAGUUAAUGACCUUGAGAUCCUCCUGCAUUAUCUGCCUGGACCCUAAAUCCAAUGACAAGUAUCCUUAUGAGAGAAAGGCAGAGGGAGAUCCAGAUUGGAGUGAUGUGGCCACAAGCCAAGAAAUGCCAGGAGCCACCAGAAGCUGGGAGAUGCGAGGAAGGAUCCUCUCCUGGAGCCUUCAGAGGGACCAUGGCCCUGUCGACACCUUGAUUUGGGCCUCCGGGCCUCCGGAGCUGUGAGAGAAUAAAUUUCUGUUGUUUUCAGUCA